rnacentral:rRNA from 1 species
UACGUAGGGUGCAAGCGUUAAUCGGAAUUACUGGGCGUAAAGGGCGCGUAGGCGGAUAUCUAAGUUGGGGGUGAAAUCCCGGGGCUCAACCUCGGAAUUGCCUUCAAAACUGGGUAUCUUGAGUUCGGGAGAGGUGAGUGGAACUCCGAGUGUAGAGGUGAAAUUCGUAGAUAUUCGGAAGAACACCAGUGGCGAAGGCGACUCACUGGCCCGAUACUGACGCUGAGGCGCGAAAGCGUGGGGAGCAAACAGG